rnacentral:lncRNA from 10 species
UGGUAUUGUCACCUAGCAGUGAGACUGGUGGGAAAUGACAGCGAUGGCAACUUUGGGGGAUAGCUUCUCCCAGUAAGGAAGGCAAAUUCUACAAAAAGAAUGAAGCACAGCAGAAAAAGUGAAGCGCUGGUUCUUACAAGGAAAAGAAGGAAAGCUUUUGCUGCUGGGAAGAUAAGAUCUUCUUCAGAUGGCCACAGAUGUGAAGAAUUAACCCAGUCGGAGCCAGCUUCAUGGACAUGCCAUCUGCACAGUUCCACGGAGAAGGGACCUGUACUUUGGGGAAACCUUCAAACAUGGACACAGAGACACGUGCAAGGAAGUACAUCACAUUCUUUGGGGGAAGUGGAACAACAGGAAGCAACCUACAUGUCCAUCAGCAAGGGGACUGCUAAGUAAGUGUGCAAGAGUGAAACGGGAUGUGGUGGUGAAGAAGAAGAAAAUAGACCUCUAUGUACCUACUGUAUUAGUCUGUUUUCACACUGCU